rnacentral:tRNA from 1 species
GGGCCGGGAGGCGGUCAGCGGGUGCGGUGAUGGUCUUCUGGACGGUCGCGAGGUGUUCGAGGCGGGUCCCGGCCUCCC